rnacentral:rRNA from 1 species
GCUUAGCCAUAAACCCAGAUAUUUAACAUACAAAAAUAUCCGCCAGAGAACUACGAGCAAAACGCUUAAAACUCUAAGGACUUGGCGGUACCUUAAACCCCCCUAGAGGAGCCUGUUCUAUAAUCGAUAAUCCACGAUCUACCUCACCAUCUCUUGCCAAUACCGCCUAUAUACCGCCGUCACCAGCCUACCCUAUGAAGGAUAUAAAAGUAGGCAAAAUCGCACAACAGCUAACAAGUCAGGUCAAGGUGUAGCUUACUGAGAUGGAAGAAAUGGGCUACAUUUUCUAAACUAGAAAUCAUUUCACGGAAAGAACUAUGAAACAAGUCCUAUAAGCAGGAUUUAGCAGUAAAUAGGGAUCAGAAUGCCCAAUUUAAGCCGGUCCUAAGGUACGC